GACAGAGGCCUCAAGCGUUAGGCGGAAUUACUGGGCGUAAAGCGUGCGCAGGCGGUCUGCUAAGAGAGGUGUGAAAUCUCCGGGCUUAACCCGGAAAUGGCAUUGAAUACUAUUGAGCUGGAGGUUUGGAGGGGGGACUGGAAUUCUCGGUGUAGCAGUGAAAUGCGUAGAUAUCGAGAGGAACACCAGUGGCGAAGGCGAGUCCCUGGACAACACCUGACACUGAGGCACGAAAAGCUAGGGGAGCAAACAGG
rnacentral:rRNA from 1 species